rnacentral:rRNA from 1 species
GUGGGGAAUCUUAGACAAUGGGCGCAAGCCUGAUCUAGCCAUGCCGCGUGAGCGAUGAAGGCCUUAGGGUUGUAAAGCUCUUUCGCUGGGGAAGAUAAUGACUGUACCCAGUAAAGAAGCCCCGGCUAACUCCGUGCCAGCAGCCGCGGUAAUAAGGAGGGGGCUAGCGUUGUUCGGAAUUACUGGGCGUAAAGCGCGCGUAGGCGGAUUGGAAAGUUGGGGGUGAAAUCCCGGGGCUCAACCUCGGAACUGCCUUCAAAACUCCCAGUCUUGAGUUCGAGAGAGGUGAGUGGAAUUCCGAGUGUAGAGAUGAAAUUCGUAGAUAUUCGGAGGAACACCAGUGGCGAAGGCGGCUCACUGGCUCGAUACUGACGCUGAGGUGCGAAAGCGUGGGGAGCAAACAGGAUUAGAAACCCGUGUAGUCC